UACGUAGGGUCCGAGCGUUGUCCGGAUUUAUUGGGCGUAAAGAGCUCGUAGGCGGCUUGCUAAGUCAGGUGUGAAACCUCCAGGCUCAACCUGGAGCCGCCACCUGAUACUGGUAUGGCUAGAGUGCGUUCGGGGCAGAGGGAAUUCCUGGUGUAGCGGUGAAAUGCGUAGAGAUCAGGAAGAACACCGGUGGCGAAAGCGCUCUGCUAGGCCGCAACUGACACUCAUGGACGAAAGCUAGGGGAGCGAAUGGG
rnacentral:rRNA from 1 species